rnacentral:rRNA from 1 species
CGGCGGACGGGUGAGUAACGCGUGGGUAACCUGCCUCAUACAGGGGGAUAACAGUUAGAAAUGACUGCUAAUACCGCAUAAGACCACGGUACCGCAUGGUACAGUGGUAAAAACUCCGGUGGUAUGAGAUGGACCCGCGUCUGAUUAGGUAGUUGGUGGGGUAACGGCCUACCAAGCCGACGAUCAGUAGCCGACCUGAGAGGGUGACGGCCACAUUGGGACUGAGACACGGCCCAG